rnacentral:lncRNA from 1 species
GCCCUUGCCUCUGCAGCCAAUCCUCAGCUGCCCCGUGGACAUGCCCCUCCCACAACCUCCCCGCCUCCAUGACACUAUAAAACCCCAUGUACUUCCCGAAUAAAAUCAGACCUGCGCAUAGACCUCGUCUCCGUGGUUUUUCCUCCAUCGAACCGCGCGUCCCCACCAAGCCUUGAGCCGCCCGCUGCCGCCCCGGUCAGGCCGUGGCGUAGGCCCGAUCCCCGGCAGCGACUCGCCUGCAGUGACCCGCCUGCAGUGCCGCAGCGGAGGCCAACAGGUGGCGCCCGAACAGGGACCCCAGCUACGGCCCCUUGUCUGGCCAGCCCGCUGCUGACCCCUCGCACGGGACCCAUCGCCGUCCUCCCGUGCCGCCGCUCAAGAUGACGCCUCCAGUCGCCCAGUCGAGCCCGCCUGAGUCUGCCCCUCCUGCACCAUCACCCGCAGGGACCACGCCAGCUCUCUCCCGCCG